rnacentral:rRNA from 1 species
AAAUUGAAGAGUUUGAUCAUGGCUCAGAUUGAACGCUGGCGGCAGGCCUAACACAUGCAAGUCGAGCGGUAACACAGAGAGCUUGCUCUCGGGUGACGAGCGGCGGACGGGUGAGUAAUGUCUGGGAAACUGCCUGAUGGAGGGGGAUAACUACUGGAAACGGUAGCUAAUACCGCAUAACGUCGCAAGACCAAAGUGGGGGACCUUCGGGCCUCAUGCCAUCAGAUGUGCCCAGAUGGGAUUAGCUAGUAGGUGGGGUAAUGGCUCACCUAGGCGACGAUCCCUAGCUGGUCUGAGAGGAUGACCAGCCACACUGGAACUGAGACACGGUCCAGACUCCUACGGGAGGCAGCAGUGGGGAAUAUUGCACAAUGGGCGCAAGCCUGAUGCAGCCAUGCCGCGUGUAUGAAGAAGGCCUUCGGGUUGUAAAGUACUUUCAGCGAGGAGGAAGGCAUUAAGGUUAAUAACCUUGG